UACGGGGGGGGCAAGCGUUGUUCGGAAUUACUGGGCGUAAAGGGCUCGUAGGCGGCCAACUAAGUCGGAUGUGAAAUCCCCAGGCUCAACUUGGGAACUGCAUCCGAUACUGGAUGGCUUGAAUUCGGGAGAGGGAUGCAGAAUUCCAGGUGUAGCGGUGAAAUGCGUAGAUAUCUGGAGGAAUACCGGUGGCGAAGGCGGCAUCCUGGACCGACGAUUGACGCUGAGGAGCGAAAGCUAGGGGAGCAAACGGGG
rnacentral:rRNA from 1 species